rnacentral:rRNA from 1 species
AUUGAACGCUGGCGGCAGGCUUAACACAUGCAAGUCGAGCGGAGAUGAGGUGCUUGCACCUUAUCUUAGCGGCGGACGGGUGAGUAAUGCUUAGGAAUCUGCCUAUUAGUGGGGGACAACAUUCCGAACGGAAUGCUAAUACCGCAUACGUCCUACGGGAGAAAGCAGGGGAUCUUCGGACCUUGCGCUAAUAGAUGAGCCUAAGUCGGAUGAGCUAGUUGGUGGGGUAAAGGCCUACCAAGGCGACGAUCUGUAGCGGGUCUGAGAGGAUGAUCCGCCACACUGGGACUGAGACACGGCCCAGACUCCUACGGGAGGCAGCAGUGGGGAAUAUUGGACAAUGGGGGGAACCCUGAUCCAGCCAUGCCGCGUGUGUGAAGAAGGCCUUAUGGUUGUAAAGCACUUUAAGCGAGGAGGAGGCUACUGAGACUAAUACUCUUGGAUAGUGGACGUUACUCGCAGAAUAAGCACCGGCUAACUCUGUGCCAGCAGCCGCCGCGGUAA